AGUGAACGCUGGCGGUAGGCCUAACACAUGCAAGUCGAACGGCAGCACAGUAAGAGCUUGCUCUUACGGGUGGCGAGUGGCGGACGGGUGAGGAAUACAUCGGAAUCUACUUUUUCGUGGGGGAUAACGUAGGGAAACUUACGCUAAUACCGCAUACGACCUACGGGUGAAAGCAGGGGAUCUUCGGACCUUGCGCGAUUGAAUGAGCCGAUGUCGGAUUAGCUAGUUGGCGGGGUAAAGGCCCACCAAGGCGACGAUCCGUAGCUGGUAUGAGAGGAUGAUCAGCCACACGGGAACUGAGACACGGUCCAGACUCCUACGGGAGGCAGCAGUGGGGAAUAUUGGACGAUGGGCGCAAGCCUGAUCCAGCCAUACCGCGUGGGUGAAGAAGGCCUUCGGGUUGUAAAGCCCUUUUGUUGGGAAAGAAAAGCAGCAGGUUAAUACCCCGCUGUUCUGACGGUACCCAAAGAAUAAGCACCGGCUAACUUCGUG
rnacentral:rRNA from 1 species